UACGGGGGGAGCAAGCGUUGUUCGGAUUUACUGGGCGUAAAGGGCGGGUAGGCGGCCACCGCAAGUCAGUUGUGAAAUCUCUGGGCUUAACCCAGAAAGGUCAACUGAUACUGCGGGGCUAGAGUGCAGAAGGGGCAACUGGAAUUCUCGGUGUAGCGGUGAAAUGCGUAGAUAUCUGGAGGAACACCGGUGGCGAAGGCGGCAUCCUGGACCAACACUGACGCUGAGGAGCGAAAGCCAGGGGAGCAAACGGG
rnacentral:rRNA from 1 species